GACAGAGGUCCCGAGCGUUAGGCGGAAUCACUGGGCUUAAAGCGUGUGUAGGCGGAUUUGUAAGUACCUUGUGAAAUCCCACGGCUCGACCGUGGAACUGCUUGGUAUACUGCUUAUCUUGGGCCAGCUAGGGGCUACCGGAACAAGUGGUGGAGCGGUGAAAUGCGCAGAUAUCGGGAGGAACACCGGUGGCGAAGGCGGUUCUCUGGGCCUUACCUGACGCUGAGGAGCGAAAGCGUGGGGAGCGAACAGG
rnacentral:rRNA from 1 species